rnacentral:rRNA from 1 species
AGGGAUUGCCUCAGUAACGGCGAGUGAAGCGGCAACAGCUCAAAUUUGAAAUCUGGCUCCUUCGGGGCCCGAGUUGUAAUUUGCAGAGGAUGCGUCGGGUACGGGUGCCUUCCGAGUUCCCUGGAACGGGACGCCAUAGAGGGUGAGAGCCCCGUCUGGUAGGAUACCCAGCCCGUGUGACGCUCCCUCGACGAGUCGAGUAGUUUGGGAAUGCUGCUCUAACGGGAGGUAUACUCCUUCCAAGGCUAAAUACCGGCUGGAGACCGAUAGCGCACAAGUAGAGUGAUCGAAAGAUGAAAAGCACUUUGAAAAGAGAGUCAAACAGCACGUGAAAUUGUUAAAAGGGAAGCGCUCGCUACCAGACUUGGGUUCGGCGGUUCAACCGGGGCCACGCCCCGGGGCAUUCCGCCGGCCCAGGCCAGCAUCAGCUUUCCGUCGGGGGUAAAGGCGUCGGGAAUGUGGCUCCCCUUCGGGGGAGUGUUAUAGCCCGUCGUGUCAUACCCUUCGGGGGGCUGAGGUACGCGCUUCUGCAAGGAUGCUGGCGUAAUGGUAGCUAGUGACCCGUCUUGAACACCGACAAAA